AUGGGUGUCUUGAUUCAACUCUUCUGCCUUCUGUUGUUCUGGCUCCCAGCUUCCAAUGGGAACAUCAUGUUGACCCAGUCUCCAAACCUCCUUUCUGUGUCUCUAAGAGAGAGUGCCUCCAUCAUUUGCACAGCUAAUCAGAGCGUCAGUGAUUACCUAACGUGGUAUCAGCAGAAACCAGGCCAGGCCCCUAAAAUUCUCAUCUAUGAUGCUGAUAACCUAUAUUCUGGUGUCUCAAAUAGGUUUAGUGGAAUUCAGUCUGGGACAAAAUUUAUUCUCACAAUCAGCAAGAUAGAGCCUGAUGAUGCUGCCAGUUAUUACUGCCAGCAGGGUUAUACAGUUCCUGUCACAGUAUUACAGCCCUGA